GCCAGGUGCCGUGGCACAUGCCUGUAGUCUCAGCUACUCGGGAGGCUGAGGUGGGAGGAUCGCUUGAACCUAGGAGUUCUGGGCUGUAGUGUGCUAUGCCCACUAUGCUAAGUUCAGCAUCAAUCUGGUGACCUCUUGGGAGCAGGGGACCACCAGGUUGCCUAAGGAGGGGUGAACUGACCCUGGUCGGAAACAGAGCAGGUCAAAACUCCCAUGUUGAUCAGUAGUGGGAUUGUGCCUGUGAAUAGCCACUGAACUCCAGCCUGUGCAACAUAGUGAGACCCUGUCUCU
rnacentral:SRP_RNA from 1 species